rnacentral:lncRNA from 1 species
UUCCAUCUCUUCAAUCAUAGCCUUUUUCCAUUUUGGAUCUUUAAGAGCAUCCUGUAACUUAUUAGGAGCUGAGACUGAUGACAAUUGGUUUGCAAAAGAUAUAUAAGAAUUUGACAAGCGAUGAGAUGAAACAAAAUUAGAUAUAGGAUAUUGAAUACCCUUUGUAGAAGAAUGACCAUAACGAACAGGGGGUAUCCCUCGAUUUUCUCGAAUAGGAUAACGAGAACCCUGAGACUCACGAUGUGGUUCAUUUGAAUCAUUUGGAUCAUCACUUAAUGAAAUCUCAUGAUUGGACUCAUCAAAUAUAGUAGGCUGAAAAGAGGGAGAAUGAGUGGUUACCUCAG